GCCAUGCACAGCCGUCUCCGCCGCCUGCAGAGCGGCGACACGGUGGCCCCCAAAGGGAGUCAAGCAUACCAAUGAUAAAAAGGAGCUUCAUAAGAUCCAAAUGUGCGGAUAAAUCAAAAAUGUUAAAGAAACGGCAAAAGCACACACGGUGGCUGCGACGUCCUAUACGAGGGAGGGAUUCAGUUCCUAGUUCGCUGGUCUGCCGCAGCUCGACGUACCGUCCUUAUUGAAAAUGUAAUUUAAAAAUAAAACAAAAUCAAUGAUUUUAUAUGAAUUUUAAUUAUUAACAUGUAAUUUUCUAAUUCUAUUGUGAGGUUAUAAUUUAGGUAUUAAUGUAGAUAAUUAAUAAUUAUUAUUCUUGGAUUGCAUUUAAUUUAAUGUGGUUGGAUAACACUUGUACUGACUGACUGUUAUUUUGACAACUAAUUGUAAUUUAAUAACUAUUUUUUCUUUUGUUAUUUCGAGAAACUAUUUUAUUCUUUAUUGAAAUAAAUUUCUUAUUGACUGUAGAUUUUUCUCUUUUUCCACGUCCUUUAACUAAGAGUACAGAGUAUUAUAACACAGAGUAUUAUCAUAUUGUUUUCCAUAUUU
rnacentral:misc_RNA from 1 species